ACGUGGCCAGACCACAGCCAAAGGUCAUCGCAACACCUUUGCUCCAAUUAUAAUAUUAUACUAAGAAUAGGACAAAAGUGUUCGCACCACUAUUUCGAUAGUUUGCAAGAGUUCGCCUAUAGGCAGAAAAAGGUUAACUAAUACAGAUUUGGUGUGUUGCGAUAUGUCCCAGUGCCCGUUUCGCAACGCUGGUUCCAUGUCAGUGUACACUCAUUAUAGCCGGAUUACAGCCACACUUAGUUUAGAAAGCAACACAACUUUCCUUCCCAGCACCCCCUGAGAAAUGACAUUUCUUAACCACAGUAAGCCACCACAUCGAAUGUGCUCGGGGGAGAAAAAGCAGCCUGUCAAAUAAAGGGGUCACUGAACAAAGAAUGCUUUGAACGCUUCUAAUGGCAUCACACGGAAGCACUUUGAUUGUGCCGGACACUCCAGUUGUAUCAGGUUUAGGGAGGCUGGCUCAAAAGCCCUUUUCAGAGGGAGGAAAGCGAAGUGCAUUGAUGACUCCAACAUCAGUGCACCUGACCAAUAAUUAUGUUGCCACCACACAUCGAAAUUAAUCGACUGUGCUGUAAUGUAACCGGAUAGGACGUUAAAAAACUCAAAGUCUGUUUAGAAUAAUUUCAUUGACAUUUGUUUUUCUAUAAAUGAAAGGGGAAAAUCGGUUGUCAGCAAAUGGAUUUUUGUAAAAAAUCUGAAAUUCUAUUUUCAAGGCCAUAUCGCCCAUCUCAGUCGUUUUGAUGUUGGAUUUGAGAAGUACAAAUGGAUAAAUUAGGAAUACAUUAAUCUGGGAAGUUUUUCCUUCGAGAAGACACGAGCACUGGCAGAUAGAUGGAGAACAAUGUUAUUUGGCCAAUGGAUUGAAAAGCCUCCCAACAUAUGGGAAGGCAGAAAAUACAACUGACUGACUGAGCGUACCACAAUUAAACAGACACUUGGAAGCAUCGCUUAGGUACACUGGCAAUCGCAGCCAGCCAACAGGAUUCAGUACGAGAUGUCAAAAUAAAAGAAAUACAAGAUUAGAAAUAGCACUCAGAAGGGUGCAGACCACUGGUGCCUGCAAUUCCAAUUUGCUGGGUGGAAACAAUGAUAGAGUUAACUGAUUCAGAAUUAGGUCAUAUUGAAAUUACACAAGAAGUUAUGAGUUAUUAUUGGACAUAAUUUUACUACAGGAACCGAGAUGGGAGGAACAAACAUGGAAACUCUCUGAUACAGCACUUGUCUUAAAAGUCUUUAGAUCAUGCAAUUGUACUUGUUUUAUUUGUCGAGGGUACAACAAGACAUUAGUGACGCAUUACCGAUAUUUGAUCGUGACACCUUAUUUGUCCAAAUUAAAUCAAAUACACUCGUGACGCAAUCGUACAUCUGUGACGUAAAUCGACGACUUGUUGUAAUUCUCCCUAGUCUGAGAAGGCGCUGCUCACGUGCGAUUCACUCUGUAAAGGGAACUCCGAGGCAGACUAAGUAGAAAGACUGUAAACUACAACACAAGUACUUUCAGGGUUCUUCAACUGGCAAUUAAGAGGAACUACGAUCAUGCAAUGUAAAAUGGUCCCUUCCUUUUCCUGGCGUAGAUUGCCUUCCACCGACCUUCCCUCUUAUAGACACAGCUUUGAGGAGACGAGAGGGGGCAGGCCAACCAGGCACCAGCCCGGCGCUUCCGGGCUUCGAACACCAAACCGCAGCUCUCGGAGACAAAAGAUAGGGAUGGGGCGGGGGGAUGGUCCUCUUGAAAUGUGAAACAACAACAAAAAUCUUUUGUAUACUAAAACUGAACAAAAGAACAAUUAUUAAAGUCAUGCAUUUGCUACCAGCUGAGUGGCACAUCUCGUGCACACACAAAAAAAAGCAACAACAUAUAUUUUCCCUAGCCAUUACAUAUUACAUAACCUUUGAAAUCUUAAUUACAACUAUAAUUAAUCAUUCAUGAACUUGCUAUCACCUGCAGGUGAGCGUCUUCACAUAAAGUGCUGUGAAGAAGCUGAAUGUGUGUCCUCACUGGUUCAUAAAUAAAAAAUAAACUCAUUGCACUAGCCAAAAGCAUCCAGGUCUUAUGUCUUAGCUCUUUUCUUUUUUUUGUAAAAGGUGAGGAGAAAAAUAAAAAUAGGCUGAUGUAAAAGCUUCCUGUCAUAAAUUGCUGUCCCCUUACCGUAAGCGGCGGGUGGAGCAAGGAAGAAGGCUGCAAAUUUAAUGACCUUUUUUUUUUCUUCUCUCCCUGGCUCUCUCCCUGGGUUCAUAGUCUGUGUCAAAGUUAAUGCAUUAUGAGGCUGGCAUCCUUGUUUUAAGCAAUCCGUGUUACCGUAAAUGGGCUGGUCAUAAAUGACUGCCAAAGGUGAACUACUGAUCUACUUUUCCACUAACGUUACCCGACGGACCUCUUUUAAUUUGAUCAGCGGUAGGCAGAGUAGCCCAAGAGAAAAUCAAGUCAGACUACUGUUACUUCAUCAUAAUCUGAUUCAAUUCAUGGGAACAAUUAGUCUGCCAAAUUAUUAAUGGCAUAAGAGUAACUAACCAAUGAGAAAACUACCCAAGUACUGCGUAACCGAUGAGUAAAAUUACAAUUAUUUGUUUAAAUCCCGCAAGACUGUCAAAACAAAAGUAUAAAAUAGAAAUAUGCAAAAUGAAAUAUUUCUGCGAGGCAAUAUUUGAUAAAAUAAUAAACUGAAGAAAAUUCUGGAAAAUAAAGGGGUUUAAAUGAAAAUCCUACAUUUUUGUUUAUACCAUACUCGUUCCAGCACCACCCAGUGAAUUUUGUAGAGUAGAUUUUCCUCGAAAAGUAAAAUUGUCUUUAAAAAGACAAUUUGGUCUAAACAGAGUAGAAUUUACUCUAGGACGAAAGUAAAAUAUUCUGUCAAUUUUACAACUGAAACAUAUUUGAGCGAUAUUUAUCCAUCCA